GACGAACCGUGCAAACGUUAUUCGGAAUCACUGGGCGUAAAGGGCGCGUAGGCGGCUUCAUAAGUCAGGGGUGAAAUCCGGCAGCUUAACUGUCGCAGUGCCUUUGAUACUGUGGAGCUCGAGGGAGGUAGGGGUCUGUGGAACUUCCGGUGGAGCGGUGAAAUGCGUUGAUAUCGGAAGGAACGCCGGUGGCGAAAGCGACGGACUGGAUCUCUUCUGACGCUGAGGCGCGAAAGCCAGGGGAGCAAACGGG
rnacentral:rRNA from 1 species